rnacentral:miRNA from 1 species
CAAAAGUUGUUGCGGUUUUGGC